rnacentral:piRNA from 1 species
GCAGUAUGUAAGCCCAGUUUUCUAGAAGU